AGAGAGGGGGCUGCUGGCCCUUCGGGGAAAGAUGGCCAGCUGUUUCCUCUCUUU
rnacentral:precursor_RNA from 1 species